CCCCGGUAAACGGCGGCCGUAACUAUAACGGUCCUAAGGUAGCGAAAUUCCUUGUCGGGUAAGUUCCGACCUGCACGAAUGGCGUAAUGAUGGCCAGGCUGUCUCCACCCGAGACUCAGUGAAAUUGAACUCGCUGUGAAGAUGCAGUGUACCCGCGGCAAGACGGAAAGACCCCGUGAACCUUUACUAUAGCUUGACACUGAACAUUGAGCCUUGAUGUGUAGGAUAGGUGGGAGGCUUUGAAGUGUGGACGCCAGUCUGCAUGGAGCCGACCUUGAAAUACCACCCUUUAAUGUUUGAUGUUCUAACGUGGACCCGUAAUCCGGGUUGCGGACAGUGUCUGGUGGGUAGUUUGACUGGGGCGGUCUCCUCCUAAAGAGUAACGGAGGAGCACGAAGGUUGGCUAAUCCUGGUCGGACAUCAGGAGGUUAGUGCAAUGGCAUAAGCCAGCUUGACUGCGAGCGUGACGGCGCGAGCAGGUGCGAAAGCAGGUCAUAGUGAUCCGGUGGUUCUGAAUGGAAGGGCCAUCGCUCAACGGAUAAAAGGUACUCCGGGGAUAACAGGCUGAUACCGCCCAAGAGUUCAUAUCGACGGCGGUGUUUGGCACCUCGAUGUCGGCUCAUCACAUCCUGGGGCUGAAGUAGGUCCCAAGGGUAUGGCUGUUCGCCAUUUAAAGUGGUACGCGAGCUGGGUUUAGAACGUCGUGAGACAGUUCGGUCCCUAUCUGCCGUGGGCGCUGGAGAACUGAGGGGGGCUGCUCCUAGUACGAGAGGACCGGAGUGGACGCAUCACUGGUGUUCGGGUUGUCAUGCCAAUGGCACUGCCCGGUAGCUAAAUGCGGAAGAGAUAAGUGCUGAAAGCAUCUAAGCACGAAACUUGCCCCGAGAUGAGUUCUCCCUGAGAC
rnacentral:rRNA from 5 species